rnacentral:rRNA from 1 species
UGUUGCCUCGGCGGGAUCUCUGCCCCGGGUGCGUCGCAGCCCCGGACCAAGGCGCCCGCCGGAGGACCAACCUAAAACUCUUAUUGUAUACCCCCUCGCGGGUUUUUUUAUAAUCUGAGCCUUCUCGGCGCCUCUCGUAGGCGUUUCGAAAAUGAAUCAAAACUUUCAACAACGGAUCUCUUGGUUCUGGCAUCGAUGAAGAACGCAGCGAAAUGCGAUAAGUAAUGUGAAUUGCAGAAUUCAGUGAAUCAUCGAAUCUUUGAACGCACAUUGCGCCCGCCAGUAUUCUGGCGGGCAUGCCUGUCCGAGCGUCAUUUCAACCCUCGAACCCCUCCGGGGGGUCGGCGUUGGGGAUCGGCCCUCCCUUAGCGGGUGGCCGUCUCCGAAAUACAGUGGCGGUCUCGCCGCAGCCUCUCCUGCGCAGUAGUUUGCACACUCGCAUCGGGAGCGCGGCGCGUCCACAGCCGUUAAACACCCAACUUCUGAAAUGUUGACCUCGGAUCAGGUAGGAAUACCCGCUGAACUUAAGCAUAUCAAUAAGCG